GAUCCUGGCUCAGGACGAACGCUGGCGGCGCGCCUAACACAUGCAAGUCGAACGGAGCUGAGAGGAGCUUGCUUUUCUUAGCUUAGUGGCGAACGGGUGAGUAACGCGUGAGUAACCUGCCCUGGAGUGGGGGACAACAGUUGGAAACGACUGCUAAUACCGCAUAAGCCCACGGUACCGCAUGGUACUGAGGGAAAAGGAUUUAUUCGCUUCAGGAUGGACUCGCGUCCAAUUAGCUAGUUGGUG
rnacentral:rRNA from 1 species